CAAGCCCUUGGCUAUUUCUACUCUGUUACAGGUUUCUUGAUACUCCUGUAAUAUAAAUAAUAAUUUGUUUUCAAAAUUUGCAAAAUACUCUUCCUUUGCCUUCAAAGUAAAUUUGAUGAUUUUCAGGCCAAGCCAAAUUUCCAGUGUGAACUUAGAAGAAUCAAGAGGAGAACAGGAGAUGAGCGGUCAGUAAUAAAAGUGGGUUGCAAUCAUAAUAUCUGAAAGUACCCAAUCAUCUUCACAAGCCCAGAGAAGUACGUUAGAAGGAGGAAAAAUGACCUACAAAAGGCACAGUCUUGGGUAGCCAGAACUGAGCCAUGGAAGACCUGGUGGGAGGCAGACUGCCUGCAGGAGUUGUUGGAAACAAGGACCCCUUGCAGCAUUGCACCCUGACACAAUAGGGCACUACAGUUUUGUAAACUCUGGGUCCAGUGGAGCAUACUUUAAAGCUGAGCAAUUGGUGGAAAUAGCAGCCAAGAGCAUGAAUACAUGAUGUCCAGACCGAGUGUCUUAAUUUAUGCUCCAAAAGAAAUCCAAGCCAAUUGACAAAGUGCAAAGUGCAAGAAAUUGUAAACUGAGACAGAAAAAUAGAAAAAAUAGAAAAAUCUGAGAAAAAAGUCUCUGAAAUACAUUUACAGCAUGUGUUCUUUUUGUGCACUUCAAUGUGUUUAGACAUUGAAAAUAGACAGUUUCUCUUCUGUUUAUACUCAGAGCAAAAUCCUACAAUGAUAUUAAGGAAAUUGCAUGAGAUGGAGGAUAGGAUUGAAUUGAAAAGUCAGAAAAUUGUUUGGGGUCAAAUUUUGUAUUGAUUUGGAGGGUUGUUUUUUUUUUACUUUAAUAAAAUUGAAGGAAAUUUCUAAAUUAAUUUGUUUUGAAUUGAAAAAUCAGUGUUUUGUCUCAAAUAUUGAAAUGAAUUUUUUUUUAACUGAAACAAUUGGUGAACUCAACAUGAAUUUGCAAAAUGUUUGUCAACAUGAAUCUUUUUGUUGUUGUUUGCCAAGCUUUAGCACCAAAUCUUCACUAGUAAACAUUAUUUUGUUUGCUGAUCUCCGGGUCCUUUUUCAGAACAAUUUUUGGCACAUCUGUAACCAACCCUUGUGUAAUGAUGUCACAAACUGUUACUAUGUGAUUUAUCAAUUUUUGGAAGUUUCCUUUGCAAUAUGAGUGCUGAACUCUUUCAACCAGAAAUAUGGCAGACUUAAACUCAGUUGAAAUU